rnacentral:rRNA from 1 species
CGGCGAGUGAAGCGGCAAGAGCUCAAAUUUGAAAUCUGGCCCCUCCGGGGUCCGAGUUGUAAUUUGCAGAGGAUGCUUCGGGCGCGGUCCCCGUCUAAGUACCCUGGAACGGGUCGUCAUAGAGGGUGAGAAUCCCGUCUGGGACGGGUGGCCGUGUCCGUGUGAAGCUCCUUCGCGAGUCGAGUUGUUUGGGAAUGCAGCUCUAAAUGGGUGGUAAAUUUCAUCUAAAGCUAAAUAUUGGCCGGAGACCGAUAGCGCACAAGUAGAGUGAUCGAAAGAUGAAAAGCACUUUGAAAAGAGAGUUAAACAGCACGUGAAAUUGUUGAAAGGGAAGCGCUUGCGACCAGACUCGCCCGCGGGGGUUCAGCCGGUACUCGUACCGGUGUACUCCCCCGGGGGCGGGCCAGCGUCGGUUUGGGCGGUCGGUCAAAGGCCUCCGGAAUGUGUCGCCCCCCGGGGCGUCUUAUAGCCGGAGGUGCAAUGCGGCCAGCCUGGACCGAGGAACGCGCUUCGG